GACGAACGCUGGCGGCGUGCUUAACACAUGCAAGUCGAACGGAAAGGCCCUGCUUGCAGGGUACUCGAGUGGCGAACGGGUGAGUAACACGUGGGUGAUCUGCCCUGCACUUCGGGAUAAGCCUGGGAAACUGGGUCUAAUACCGGAUAGGAGCCAUUUUUAGUGUGAUGGUUGGAAAGUUUUUUCGGUGUAGGAUGAGCUCGCGGCCUAUCAGCUUGUUGGUGGGGUAAUGGCCUACCAAGGCGGCGACGGGUAGCCGGCCUGAGAGGGUGGACGGCCACAUUGGGACUGAGGUGCGGCCCAGACUCCGACGGGAGGCAGCAGUGGGGAAUAUUGCACAAUGGGCGCAAGCCUGAUGCAGCGACGCCGCGGGGGGGAUGACGGCCUUCGGGUUGUAAACUCCUUUCGAUAGGGACGAAGCUUUUUGUGACGGUACCUAGAGAAGAAGCACCGGCUAACUACGUG
rnacentral:rRNA from 1 species